GACGAACGCUGGCGGCGUGCCUAAUACAUGCAAGUCGAACGCAGUGGGGACGGGUUAGUAACCCCUGGGUAACCUCCCAUCAGACGGGAUAACCCUUGGAUACAGCUGCUAAUCCCACACUGAUGGAUGGACCAGCGGGGCAGUAGCUAGUUGGUGAGGUAACGGCUCACCAAGGCUACGAUGCAUAGCCGGCCAGAGAGGGUGAUCAGACACACGGGGACUGAGACACGGCCCAGACGCCUACGGGAGGCAGCAGUAGGGAAGCGGGGGCAAUGGGCGAAAGUCUGAUCGAGCAAGGCCGCGUGGAGGAAGAAGGUUUUAGGGUUGGAAAGUUCUUUUGGUAGGGAGGCGGUAUCGAACGAGGAAGCAACGGCUAACUACGUGCCAGCAGCCGCGGUAAUAC
rnacentral:rRNA from 1 species